rnacentral:rRNA from 1 species
ACACGGGGGGAGCAAACGUUGUUCGGAAUCACUGGGCGUAAAGGGCGCGCAGGCGGCCUGGUCAGUGAAACGUGAAAGCCCCUGGCUCAACCAGGGAACUGCGUUUCAUACUGCCAGGCUUGAGGACGUGAGAGGAGAGGGGAAUUCCCGGUGUAGCGGUGAAAUGCACUGAUAUCGGGAGGAACACCAGUGGCGAAGGCGCCUCUCUGGCCCGUUCCUGACGCUCAGGCGCGAAAGCUGGGGGAGCAAACAGAAUUAGAAACCCCAGUAGUCC